UACGUAGGUGGCAAGCGUUGUCCGGAUUUACUGGGCGUAAAGAGCGCGCAGGCGGUCGACCAAGUCGCGUGUGAAAGCCCCCGGCUCAACUGGGGAGGGUCACGCGAUACUGAUCGACUCGAAGGCAGGAGAGGGAAGUGGAAUUCCCGGUGUAGUGGUGAAAUGCGUAGAUAUCGGGAGGAACACCAGUGGCGAAGGCGACUUCCUGGCCUGUUCUUGACGCUGAGGCGCGAAAGCUAGGGUAGCAAACGGG
rnacentral:rRNA from 1 species